UACGUAGGGGGCCAGCGUUGCUCGGAAUUACUGGGUGUAAAGGGUUCGUAGGCGGUGCGGCAAGUUGGGAGUGAAAUCUCUGGGCUCAACCCAGAGGCUGCUUCCAAAACUGCUGUGCUUGAGUGUGGGAGAGGCGCGUGGAAUUGCAGGUGUAGCGGUGAAAUGCGUAGAUAUCUGCAGGAACACCCGUGGCGAAAGCGGCGCGCUGGACCACACUGACGCUGAGGAACGAAAGCUAGGGGAGCAAACAGG
rnacentral:rRNA from 1 species